rnacentral:pre_miRNA from 1 species
AGAGUGGAAUGAAGCCAAGGAUGAUUUGCCGAGAGCAAAAUUCAUUUGAUGUGAUCCAAACUUUUGAGUUACUCGGCAAGUUAUCUUUGGCUGCAUUUUCCUUUCU